AAAGUCGUAACAAGGUUUCCGUAGGUGAACCUGCGGAAGGAUCAUUAACAGGAUGGUUGCUGCAAAGCAAUCAUGAUAUGCAUGUGUUGUGUGAUGGUGUAGUGACUGUGCAUUUGCACGGUCACACUAUUUAACGAUUAUUCCAAUCAAUUCUGAUUUAUACAGUGUGUAUAUUUACACAAUAACAACAACAAUCGAAAACUGCCAGCAAUGGAUCACUCGGUUCUC
rnacentral:misc_RNA from 1 species